CAUCAAAUUCAACUUCCGGUGUCAACGUCGCUUCCGGGUGAAAGUUACAACCAGACGGCUUUUUCAGCUACACUCCAUAUUUUUGCCAUUUGUCAGCUCAAAUCAAGUCAACCAUGGUGGACUACGGUUCUGGACCAGUGAAGGAGAGCAUCGACAACACGGUGUUUAUCAUCCCAGGAAUUAUAGUCCUUUGUUUAGUCUCUUUCUUCGCCUACAAGUUGUACAAAAGUCUAAGAGAAAAGGAGAAAGCAAAGGAGGAAAAGAAAAAGAUGAAGCAGCAGAGGAAAGAGAAGGAACAACAGAAAAAACAAAAGAAGAAAUUAUGAUUAUGUAAACAUAGAGCAAUUUUACUAUUAGCAGCUAAAUUAUUUUUGUGACUUAAUGUUUCAACUAGACUGUGUACAUGAAAGAAGCAAGAGAGAAUAAAAGAGAACAUUUGAAAAUAGACUGAAUAAAAAAGAAAAAAAUCACUUCCAGUAGCUGUUACUCCCUGCAUGGCUGGACUUUUUUUAUUCUUCAAUUUUUAUACCUGGAUGAUAAGAAAAUUUCAGUAUUACAUAUGGAUUUGAGUGUAAAAAAUAUUUCAAUGGUUGCAAAUGCUUUUUUUGUGUUAACCAAUAUCAUGUGAAUGCAUUGUCUGUUUGUUUGCUGCUGUAUGUUACACUAAAAUUCAGUCAAACCUUAUAACUGUGAUCAGCCAUGGUAUCCAAAUUCUAGAGACGUCUGUCGAAGAAGUGUUUCAAAACCACAUUAUUGUUGAAUAUGUCAUCAAAAUAUUCAGUAAAACCACUUGUAUAGAUUACAAAGUGAUGUUUGAUUAAGAAAAAUCUGUAUUCUGUAAGAGUUCAAAAUGACGUGUGUUAUGAAGCUUCAGUGGUUGAUUACAUAAAAGUGAUUUUUUUAAGAAUGACAUAUAAAAUUAUGUUACAAGAUUUAUGAUAUUGUCUUUGAUAAUGUAAAUAUUAUAUUGGUUGUGUGAAGUGGCAUCCAUGAAACAUUCUACUGGUUAGUGCUUUGUGUUAGGGGUAAAGUCUAAAUAUAUGUACAUACAUUGAUUAAUUUUAGCAAUAAUUAACAUGAAUUAAUACACCAUUGUUGGAUACCCACCAUUGAUUUGGUCAUCUUGGGUGAUCAGUAGAAGACAAAACUGUUGGUAUUCACUAUGAAAGCAGACAUGUUGUAAACCAAGUAUCCAUAGCAACAUCUCGUAUUUGUGAUUCAUCAUGUGAUAACCCAAUGGUAGCUUUUCAAUUACAAAAUACAUUAGCAUAUCAUAAAUCAAGUCUCUCUUUAAUCUUAUGGAUAAUUCUCAUGUGAGAUUGAAAAUUGCAGUACAGUGUUACUUUUUCAUAAAUUAAAAAUGUUUUUAAAAUUCUUUUUAGGUAGAUACAUUCAGUUUUUAUACAUUCCUAGUGUGAUGUGCAUUCUUCCUCUGAAACUAGUACAACAAUUCUACUACUUUUUAUUGUAAAAAUAUACUAAUGUCUCGUCAUCUACCACUGUAAUAGUCAAUAUCCCCCGCUGUUGGAUAUUCAUUCGAUACAUAAAAAAAUCAUUUCACUGAUAUCUCGAAAUUCUGAAUGAGUUUUGUACUGAUGCAAUCACGAGUAUACGAUAUCACAAAAUAGGCACUCAAUCCGUGUCUGGAUUGUAAGUGGAAAGAGUGAGAAACUGAUUUUGAAAAUGGCAAGCAAGUUUCAAGCAGUAGCACAGUUGGCUUAUAAUAUCCAGUAAAACAUGCUUAUAUUCUCGAAUUCACACCUACUGCGAAGGGAUAUUAAUUCCCCUAUGAGAGGAAAAUAAUGAUAAUUUUAUUGGAUAUAUUGAAGUUUGGUUAUAAUGAACUGGUUUUCACUGGCCCUGGAGGUUCAUUAUAACAAUGUUUCACUGUAUAUAUACAAAACAGCAACAUGUAAUACUUAUUGAUUGAAAUAUUUUUUUUUUGUAUAAUCAAAAUGCAGGAAAAAGUAAUGUGUAAAGAGUUCUACUUAUGGGAGAUUUCUGUAUUGUCUAUGAUAUAGGGGGCUUUAAUUAAGAAUAAAAUUGUUUUUAGUGAAUGGAUGAAAUAUAUUACUUUAGCAGAGAAAACUUGCCUCCAUUGCAUUGUAGAUAAGCCACCAAUCUUGUGUUGAAAGUAUUACUUGUGAAAUGCAAUUUUGUUCUAUUGUUUUUUUUAAUUGCCCCAGUAUUGGUAAUGACUGUGUGUGAAGGUGUACAAACACCAUGUAUCUUGUUUACAUUUUAUAGAUUUUAUUUUUGAACUUGUUGGAUUUGCACUUGUAUCACUAAAGCUCUUGUAAGGACACACUAGGGUGAUCUAAAAAUAGAACUGAACUUCAAUUUUUAAGUGUUAUUUUAGUGGAAAACAUUCCUUUUCAAAUUUGUCUGAUACACAUAUCCAUCAGGUUACAACAUUGUGAAGCUUCUAUUUCAUCACGUGGUGUAAUAUAUUGAACAAGCAUGACUUUUAUUGAUAACAGUAUAAAAAGGUUAAGGGUUAAGGCAACUUAUUACAAAGUUUUGAAUAUAGAUUUCAAGUAACAGAUGAUUUUUCUUAUCACUUAUAAGUCAGGAAACUUUACCAUUAGAUUUUCCCUGAAAAGGAAUUAAGAGAUUCUUAAUGAAUUUCAACUGAAAAAGUCAAAGUUUAACAAGUUUUAAAAGGUUUCUCCUCAUUUGCUGUUAUUAAAUUGAUAUAGAAAUAUAUAAUUCAGGUGGAACAAGAACGCUUAUUUUAGAGGUUAAAAGUAAGAUUAACAGGACCUAUAGAUGAAAAAAAAAUUGUUUCUAGCGUAUAUGACUCAUUUUCCUUUUCAAAUGGAUUCAUGAAACUUCAUUCAUAGACUUUUCAUGGGAAAAGGGUGACCACAAAUGUUGGAAAAUUUAGGGCUUGAUCCAAUUUCUUUUUUGUUUAAACUAGAAGCAAUAAAAGAAUUGGAUAGGUUACAUAUGGAUUUUUUGGUUCCAGCUGACAAAGCUUGUAACAACAUUGUCUUUGUAAGACUAAUUCACGUGUAUAAUUCUAAAAGAACUUGGCAUUAAUUCCACAUUUUGUAACCCCCCCCCCCCCCCCCACCCCAUUACUAUGAAGCUUCACCCUGAAUUUCAAUAGGAUGAAAAUAUUAGGGGGGGGGGGGGUGUUCUUAGUUAAAAAAAGCUUUACACAAGAUAAUGCCACAUACUCCCUAUAGAAUUUGGGUUAGUGAUUUUUAUCAGAUUUUUUUCUAAUGAAAAUGUUUUUUGGGAUUUAAAUUUCAUGACCAUCGAGCAACACCAUGAAACUGCUUUUAUUAAUGUGCCCAUGAUUUUUAUGUAAACCUUUGAUUUGACCAAUUCAUUUUCAUUUGGACAUUUUACCAAUUGCAUAUGUAAAAUGCAUAUUAUCAUUGUAAAUAAUACUCUUCUGUGCUUGCAGGUAAAUGGGGCAGGUAAAAGGGGGCAUAACAAGGCAUUGAGUUUGCACAUGCUACAACUGUGUUUUUGUUUGGCAGAAAUUAUUAUUAUUUAAUCUUUAUGAUAAAUAGGUAAAAAAUGAUGUCUUUCUCCAAUAUAUUUUGAAAACAAAAUCACAUGAUAUAAAUAUCAUUUAGAAACAUAGUCUGUAAUAUAAUUAUCAUAUUUUCAUUAAUUUCACUUGACAAAGUGAUCUUCCAUAAACAGUUGAUAUGACAACCCAUGGGUGGAUCCAGGUAAAUUGCAUACUAGGAGGUGUGCUUUUAUCAACCAAAUUUGGGGGAGAGGGGGGUCAAAGAGGCAAAAAAUUACCACUUUCAUUUAAAAUAUUUAGUCAAGGGAGGGGUGCAACCCAGCCCAACCCCCCUCCUAAGUUCGUCGCUGCAAUAAGUUUUUACUGAAUUGACCAAUAAAAAAUAAAAAUGAAUUCAAGUACAAUGUACCAUGCACACUCGUAGAGAGAUAUCCCAUGACUUUAUGUUAGUCAUACGUUUAAAGAAAGUUGUGGCAUAUCUCUGUAUUUCAGUGAGAGACUUGUCUUUUUUUUUUUUUUACCUUAGUGUUGUACAAGAUAUACCUAUAGAAACCUAUGUAUGUUGUACUUAUCAUGUUUUCAAAAUUGAAAAUAAUUAUGUAAGAAUAAAAUGUUUUAUCAAACUUUGA